AACCCUUUUGUUUCAGUGAUUUUGUUUUGUGUACUCACUGUAAUACUUUACAUGUAAAAAAUUGAUUUUUGAUUUUGUUUUAUAGUUUAUCUUUCAUGUGUUUAACCGGCUAAAGCAAUGCUUGGAAUAAACCAUACAAAGAAAAACACAUGUUCAUCGAAUAAACGAGCUCGCUCAAGAUUAACGUCCUUAUCACCUCGUUCACCAGUACAAUUUUCGUCCACACAGCCUCGAAGAAGAAGUAUAAAUGAUGAAAGAUGAAACGUUUUUUUGAAAAUUGUGCCUCUUUUGUUAAACCUGGUUAACAAGUGUUAAGCCGAGAAGUUAUGAGUUAUAAACUCCAAAUCGCAGUGUAAUUGAAUUGUUUUGAAUAAACUGGGCUUAACUUCUUGCUGCUAAUCCGACUUGGUCACUAUUGGCGUCUAAAUCAACUCGAACAUGAAUGUCUUGAAUUGGAUAGUUGAUUAAUGACAUAUUUAAAAUUUGUUAAUAGCGCCACUGGAUUCAGUUUUCAUGUCCUUACAAAUCCAUAAAUUUUUGGCAUCACUCCUUAGCGCUCAACUUUGAUGACAAGAAACAUAUCAAAACGAGCUGGAAUAGUUUACAUGAAAUUGAUAUUCGGGUGGUUUAUUCAAUCAAAAGAUUGCCAACAGGAAAUAUAAUCAUAGGAAGGCUAAUACUGGUGUGGAAUCCUUAAAUAAGAGUCAUUGGAAUUCAAAUUCAAAUAUUGUAAUGGUUCUCUUCCAACUGGAUGUAUAAAAGUCACACUAGCUACAAUAUAAAUGUUAAACAUAAAUGUUUAAUUUUUAAUUGUUAUGCUGUUUCCUCGAUUUGUUUGAUAAAAUUUUCAAGUCAAAUGUCCAAUCUUUGAUAAUUAUGAAUUUCAUUUAUAGAUGCUGCCAACGACCUCAAUUUAUGUAUUGCCUGAACCAUAAUUUUCCAGAGUUACUGGUCAUUACUUUGUCAAUUUGGACAAGUCAAUCUAAUUUAACUUUCAGAGGGUGUUAAUGACAUUAUCUUUGGUGAAGCUGACAAAUGCUUCAACCAAAUUGUCGGUAAUAUCAAUCACCUUGACAUAGUGUUGAGAGUCAAUAACCAAAACUAUAAAGGUUAUUCAAUCUAAUCAUCACUUCAGACAAGGUUCUUGCACUUCCUUUCAACUCAACUGUAUGUGUAGGCUAGUUGAAUAAAUUUGACUCAAAAUGAGAACAUGGUAUUGCUCGAUUCACUUCAAUUUACAUGAUUGUAAAGUGUUCAACUAUUAUGGAUCAAUCUAAAAAUAAUCGAAUCAUGGAAACGAAUUUGAUUUCCUGUAACUCUAUUCAAUCGUACAUAUGUCAACAACUUUAUGACCAAACUUGAUCUCAAGUGAUUUCUCACUCCAAGUAAUCCUCACUCUUUUCAAUCAAUCCUCAGCAUUUUCAAUCCAACUUCAUGAUAACCUUCAACCUUCAAUUUAUUUAUAAACCACAACCAUAAUGGAGUUAAUGUAUUAAUACAAGGCUUUUGGCAUUGCAAAACCUUGCUCUGAAUAUUGGAAUCAAAGGAACAUUUAGAAAAAUUUAAUUUCAAAAAAGCUCAUUAUCUUCGCCUAAAAACAUCAAUAUUAUUACAUAUUAUUUACACCGACUGAUUACAAUAAGAAUAGGAAAUUGACACCAGUUGAUAUAAUUUAGCUUUCAAACCUGUCACCCUGACUAUAGCCUGUGAUAUUCAACUGGCUUAGGAUUUUGUUAAAAGCUUUCAAUUCCUUCACUUUUU